AUUCAAUAAACAUCACAAAUAUUGUUGAUGCCACAUCUUUUGUUGAGAAGUCAUGAAACAAAAGACAUGUUGCUAAGAUCCUGAAAGAUUGAACAAAGUUAUUUCUAUGAUUAUAUCAGUUUUAAGAUUACCCACUGCCCAAUAUUUGACACAGUCAAUGCUUGGAUGAAUGGUACAAGACACGUGCAUGAGGCAGCACAGAGGAAAAUCCUUCCCGCUUCUUCCAUGCUUUGGGUUCAUAACCUCUGCGCUUCCAGCUCCGAACUCGGAUCCAAAGGCCUCAUGGGUAUUUUCUCUGAUAUUAGAGGCUAUUACUUGGUGCUUUACGCUGAAUGACCUAUUUUUGAGAAAGGCAUGGAUUACUUUCAGGCAUUUUCCAUAUACAAUUGGAUAAUGAUAAUAUUUUGAGGCAUUUCAAUUUAUUCCACAUGUGAAUAGUUUUGAAUUCGAAGUCUAGUUUUUCGAUUUCAAUCUGGCAUAUGAUAUUUGAAUAGCAAAAGCAUUUUUAGUGUAAUUCUAAAUUUUUUGAAGGUAACUAAGUAAAACAAUAUUUUGUCAUUUUUCUUCAGGUAAAUAAAACAAUGUUUCGUAAUCUUUUGUAUGCAAGUACUAUUGUCGAUCCAAAGCCACAGGAAAUACCAUUCAAAAUGGACUAAAGAAAAGCGAUAUUGUCGCUGGAACUGAAUAUGAAUGGUUUCUUAUAGCAUGUAUAUCCAUAUAUAACAAGCAAAGUUUCACUUCA